rnacentral:rRNA from 1 species
GCUCAGGAUGAACGCUGCGGGCAUGCCUAACACAUGCAAGUCGUACGGGUUUAAAACCGUGGCGGACGGGUGAGUAACACGUAAGUUAUCAACUUUCCAGGAGAGGGAUUAACAAAAUGGAAACGUUUUGAUAAUUACCUCGUAAACUUUUUACAAAGUGAAAGAAUUUUUUGCCUGGAGACGAGCUUGCGUCCAAUUAGCUAGUUGGUGUGGUAAUAGCGCACCAAGGCUUCGAUUGGUAGCUGCGUUGAGAAACGGAACAGCCACACUGGGAUUGAGAAACGGAACAGACUCCUACGGGAGGCAGCAGUGGGGAAUAUUUGGCAAUGGGUGAAAACCUGACCAAGCAAUGCCGCGUGGAGGAUGAAGGUCUUCGGAUUGUAAUCUCCUUUUCCCAAAGAAGAAACAAUGACGGUAUUUGGGGAAUAAGCAUUGGCUAAUUCUGUGCCAGCAGCCGCGGUAAUACAGAAAAUGCAAGCGUUAUCCGGAAUUAUUGGGCGUAAAGCGUCUGUAGAUUGUUGAAUAAGUUUAAUGUUAAAUAUCAGAGCUUAACUUUGGCACGGCAUUAAAUACUUUUUGACUUGAGUACGAUAGAGGUAGAGGGAAUUUCCAGUGUAGCGGUGAAAUGCGUAGAUAUUGGAAGGAACACCUAUGGCGAAAGCACUCUACUGGGUUGAUACUGACAUUGAGAGACGAAAGCUAGGGGAUCAAAAAAGAUUAGAUACCUUUGUAGUCCUAGCUGUAAACGUUGCAUACUAAGUGGUGCUUUUUGUACUGCUGUAGCUAACGCGUUAAGUAUGCCGCCUGGGGAGUACGCUUGCAAAAGUGAAACUCAAAGGAAUUGACGGGGGCCCGCACAAGCGGUGGAGCAUGUGGUUUAAUUCGAUGCAACACGAAUAACCUUACCAGGUUUUGACAUGUUGGAAAUCCCUUUGAAAAAAGGGAGUGCCCUUAAUCGGGCUCCAAACACAGGUGGUGCAUGGCUGUCGUCAGCUCGUGUCGUGAGAUGUUGGGUUAAGUCCCGCAACGAGCGCAACCCUUUUUUUUAGUUACUUUUCUAAAAAUACUGCCAAUGAUAAAUUGGAGGAAGGUGAGGAUGACGUCAAGUCAGCAUGCCCCUUAUAACCUGGGCUACACACGUGCUACAAUGGUUAAGACAACGAGUUGCAAGUUUGCGAAAACAAGCGAAUCUCUUAAACUUAAUCUUAGUUCGGAUGGUAGGCUGCAACUCGCCUAUCUGAAGCUGGAAUCGCUAGUAAUCGCCGGUCAGCUAUACGGCGGUGAAUACGUUCUCGGGCCUUGUACACACCGCCCGUCACACCAUGGAAGUUGGUCAAACCUGAAGUAAUUUUCUUAACUUAGGGGAGAGGUUAUUAAGGUUGGACUGGUAACUGGGGUGAAGUCGUAACAAGGUAGCAUG